rnacentral:rRNA from 1 species
UACGGGGGGGGCGAGCGUUGUUCGGAAUUAUUGGGCGUAAAGGGUGCGUAGGCGGUUCGGUAAGUUUGGUGUGAAAUCUUCGGGCUCAACUCGAAGUCUGCACGAGAUACUGCCGGGCUUGAGUGUGGGAGAGGUGAGUGGAAUUUCCGGUGUAGCGGUGAAAUGCGUAGAUAUCGGAAGGAACACCUGUGGCGAAAGCGGCUCACUGGACCAAAACUGACGCUGAGGCGCGGAAGCUAGGGGAGCAAACAGG